rnacentral:misc_RNA from 1 species
UGUGGGAGCGAGCCUGCUCGCGAUAGCGGCGGUAGGUUCAGCAUCGAUGCAAACUGAUCCGCCGUCAUCGCGAGCAGGCUCGCUCCCACA